AGGCUUAACACAUGCAAGUCGAGGGGCAGCAUGGAGCAGCAAUGCUCUGACGGCGACCGGCGGAAGGGUGCGUAACACGUGAGCGACUUGCCCGUCACAGGGGGAUAACCGGCGGAAACGGCGACUAAUACCCCAUAUGAUGUGAUGCUGCAUGGCAUUGCAUUGAAAGAUUCAUCGGUGGCGGAUAGGCUCGCGGGACAUUAGCUAGACGGCGGGGCAACGGCCCACCGUGGCGACGAUGUCUAGGGGUUCUGAGAGGAAGACCCCCCACACUGGGACUGAGACACGGCCCAGACUCCUACGGGAGGCAGCAGUGAGGAAUAUUGGUCAAUGGGCGGAAGCCUGAACCAGCCAUGCCGCGUGCGGGAAGGAGGCCCUAUGGGCUGUGAACCGCUUUUGCCUGGGGGCAAUAAGGGCGUCGCGCACGUCCGAUGAGAGUACCAGGCGAAUAAGCAUCGGCUAACUCCGUGCCAGCAGCCGCGGUAAUACGGGGGAUGCGAGCGUUAUCCGGAUUCAUUGGGUUUAAAGGGUGCGUAGGCUGUGCGUCAAGUCGGGGGUGAAAUUCCGGUGCUCAACACCGGGGCUGCCCUUGAUACUGUCGCGCUGGAGUGCGGAUGCCGCCGGAGGAAUGAGUGGUGUAGCGGUGAAAUGCUUAGAUAUCACUCAGAACACCGAUUGCGAAGGCAUCUGGCGAAUCCGUAACUGACGCUGAGGCACGAAAGCGUGGGGAUAGAACAGGAUUAGAUACCCUGGUAUUCCACGCCGUAAACGAUGAUGGCUAACCGCCGGCGACACACUGUCGGUGGCCAAGCGAAAGCGAUAAGCCAUCCACCUGGGGAGUACGUCGGCAACGAUGAAACUCAAAGGAAUUGACGGGGGCCCGCACAAGCGGAGGAACAUGUG
rnacentral:rRNA from 1 species